rnacentral:rRNA from 1 species
AUUGAACGCUGGCGGCAGGCCUAACACAUGCAAGUCGAGCGAGCGGCGGACGGGUGAGUAAUGUCUGGGAAACUGCCUGAUGGAGGGGGAUAACUACUGGAAACGGUAGCUAAUACCGCAUACCAUCAGAUGUGCCCAGAUGGGAUGAGCUGGUAGGUGGGGUAACGGCUCACCUAGGCGACGAUCCCUAGCUGGUCUGAGAGGAUGACCAGCCACACUGGAACUGAGACACGGCCCAGACUCCUACGGGAGGCAGCAGUGGGGAAUCUUCCGCAAUGGACGAAAGUCUGACGGAGCAACGCCGCGUGUGUGAAGAAGGCCUUCGGGUUGUAAAGCACUUUCAGCGGGGAGGCGUUACCCGCAGAAGAAGCACCGGCUAACUCCGUGCCAGCAGCCGCGGUAAUUC